rnacentral:sRNA from 1 species
UGGAAUUAUGGAUUGUUGAUUUUACAGGUGUAGAUUACAUUUGAGUAUCAAAAGGUGGGGUAGUUCUACAGUUGUUUACCGGUUACUGUCAGUGGCAAUGUUCUUCCGAUGUUUUGGGGGGUUGUGUGUUGUUUGAUCAUCCACCCAGCCCGAGAGGUUUCAUUUCACCGUGCGAUACGAUUGCGGAAGAUUGCUCUGCACAAUUUUUGUGUUUGGUGAUAUGGGGGUUUGGUCGUCAGUCUGAGGUUGGCAGAGUUUUUAGAUCUGCUCUUCCAGAGUGAGUAAAAUUGUGCAUGGGAUUUAUUCUCGGCCCGGUUGAAAAAAAUGCAUGACCGGGCAUCGUGCUGGUAACACUGUAAUUGUUAAAAAGUAUUUUGUAACAGAAUAGGCAUGAGGAAGUAAUGCAGUACUGUUUUGAGAUGG